rnacentral:rRNA from 1 species
GAUGAACGCUGGCGGCGUGCCUAAUACAUGCAAGUCGAGCGAACGGACGAGAAGCUUGCUUCUCUGAUGUUAGCGGCGGACGGGUGAGUAACACGUGGAUAACCUACCUAUAAGGCUGGGAUAACUUCGGGAAACCGGAGCUAAUACCGGAUAAUAUUUUGAACCGCAUGGUUCCAAAGUGAAAGACGGUCUUGCUGUCACUUAUACAUGGAUCCGCGCUGCAUUAGCUAGUUGGUAAGGUAACGGCUUACCAAGGCAACGAUGCAUAGCCGACCUGAGAGGGUGAUCGGCCCCACUGCAACUGAGACCCGGUCCACACUCCUACGGGAGUCAGCAGUCGGGAAUCUUCCGCAAUGGGCGAAAGCCUGACGGAGCAACGCCGCGUGAGUGAUGAAGGUCUUCGGAUCGUAAAACUCUGUUAUUAGGGAAGAACAUAUGUGUAAGUAACUGUGCACAUCUUGACGGUACCUAAUCAGAAAGCCACGGCUAACUACGUG